ensembl:lncRNA
CUUCUUGGCUUUUGAACCCAGCCCAGCAAGAUUACCAGAUCUAAGGUUUGUGUAAUAACAGUACAAGUCAUGAAGCUGUGAAGUCGUUGGUACUGUUGUCAGUCCCUAAGCCUGCAGAGCAGUUGUUUUUUUGCUGUCUGAAACUGAAAUCUCAUCUGCAAGCCAUUGCUUCUAAGUGAGUGGCUGCAGGAACCGGAGGUGUGAAGCUUUGUAAUGACUUGCCAUAUGACCUCUCGCCUCGCAGUGCUAGGAAAGGAAGUAAAGCUGAGAAUUCCUGGUCCCCAGCCCUUGAUUUAAACUUCUCCAUCUUAAGGAACACGUCAGGUACCCAGUGUUGGUCUGAGCUGCAGAGAGCAAAAAGAGAGGAAAGAUGCAGACAACCGUCUGUAUCCCUAUUUGAGAAAACAGUUUGAAAUGUAAAGAAUAUUCUUCAUCAAGGUAUACAGGUUGACACAGGCUUGUGUUGCAAGCAUGAUUGGUCACCUUAUCUUCUUAUUUCUGGGUGCUCAUCUGGAAUGGAAGGAAAUUUUUUGAUCACUGAAGCUGGCUAAAUGACUCUAAAUAACUUUCAUAUGCAGCAUUAGAGGAACAGAAAGACUUAAAGAACAGAAGACUUUACGUGAAGCAAAGUAAGAAUUGGGACAUUGUGAAGCAUGUCCUGAUGUUGUUUCAGAAUUAAACUGUGAAGUGCUAUCGACCUAGACUUGUGGAGGGCACCACAGAAGCAUGUUGUGUAGUGUCCAUGGAGUAAGAUUCUUAUUCUGCCUUGAAAGGUGGGCAGCAAUUGACUAAAGCCCACACCAACCCACAUUAGCUAGUUCCUGAUUAGAAAUACUGGAUAUUGUUUUUCAUAACCACUUUUUGUGAAGCACAUUAUGAUAACUGUCAGGUGCUAUGAUACUUCUUCUUAUUAGGUAAAUCUUGUACAUGUGGAUGAGAUAUUAUUUUUCCAUGGGUAUGUUUAUAUGAACUGCAGCCAGUGCUUCUACCUAGAGAACUAUGUCAAUGUAAUGCAAGGUUAUGUAAGUUUUAUUUAGGUCCUUAUAUGCUGCAUGUCACACAGCCUGAAUUACUUGCACGAGUGAAGUGAUGGGAUUGUUAUCUGCUGCAUGUGAUUUUCUCUCUCCCCUUCUUUCCAAAGGUGAAUUCUGUGCUCUUUUUAUUUUCAGUGUCUUUUAAAAUAAUUAUUACAUUGUCUGUACACUGUUCUGUCUGUAUUUAUGUGACUCACAGUCAGAGUAGAAGAUACUGAGCUUUGUGCUCAGGAUAAUUCCAAUGGGAUCUCAUCCAAGUCUUUAAGCUGGCCCAUCGAGAAAGCUCUUUUUUCUGCACAGCUUUUCUUGGGAGAUGGAUAAUCCCACUGUGCCUGAGCAGUGAAACUGCUGUCUAUUCUUCCUUGUCCUGCCUCUCUCUGUAGGUGACCAUUUAUGUAGGUGUAUGGGGUCCCAAACUUCUGAGUGCCUUAGGAAUAAGGAUGCAACACUGAAAUUAGAACUGAAGGUUAAGCACAGGUCUUAGACCUGCACUCAGCCAGGUGAAGAUGUGUAGUGCACGUUCGUAGUGCUUGUGCUCUGUUCUAUGGGGUCAGUGAGGAGAACAGAAGACCCAGGUUACCGUGCUCCCAGGAGGACCUCUCAGUGGGUAGGAGUGCUGCUGUGGGACAUUUGUUCCUGCUCUCCUUCAUCAUUUCCAGCUUUUUGAGUCUGGAGUCUAGCACUGGUUCUUCAAAUCUGAGUUUUAAAGCAGAAUCACCCUCUAUGUAUUAUACAAGUGAUCACUCGAGUAGCACAAGCCCUUUUGACCGACUAUUACUGCUGUGUCUUUUUGUCCUUGGGGUUUCUCUCCAAUGGGAUAUUGUUUUCGAACUGAAAUGAUCUGCAUGUCUCUUAAGAGCUGAGCUGUCUGGAAAACACUUUGAUCAAAUUCCAACACAGUUUUUCUAAAUGUGUUUCUUUUGCCUUUUGCUAGCUAAUUCCUGAUGCUGUUUAUCCAAAACACCACCUGCUGUCAAGGGCGGUUCUGGCAAUUUGAAAUGUCUUUGUCCACGAAGCAGCCAUACCUGUUAGGUUUAAUUUCUGCAAUGAAUUACCAAGUGUAUGUAAUUCAAAAUUCAUUCUUCUUCCCUGCCCUCCUACCACCACCAGUCAUCUCUUUUCAUCUGUGAAAGCAGUGAUGGAAUUAGGUUGCUAAGAACCUGGAAGGUUUGCUUUCUCUGUACCAAAUUUAAAGUAAUAUAUGCAAGAAGCAGGACAGUUUUUCUGGUUUUCUGCCAUAUCGUAUAACUCGGGAGUCUGUUUUCUUCAUGACUAAUAACAUUAACUACUUAUUUCAGUUCAUUUGGAGAAGGGGGGAAAAAUGGAAGGUAUAAACUUUGGAGGUAUAACAAUACAGAAGUACAGUUCUCUAGUAAAUAUUUCAAAAUUCCAAGAAAGUCUGGAACAUGGGAAUAAUACUCAAGGAGACACACCAGAUUUGUAUAUGGAGUGGAUGCCCAAGAAGUCUGAUUCAAAGUGAAUCUGAGAGUAGUUUUCGUGAUAGUGAUAGUGUGUAUUUGCAUCAAGAAAAGAAGGAAGGAAAGAGAAACUGAAUUAUUUGAGAGUAUAUGUGGACCCUAACAUAAUAGUAGUUCCUGAUUAUUAUUUUUUUAAAUUUCUUAUUUUAUUCAGGAGAACCUUAAAUAUCAUGGAUUAAUGCCGGAUUGGUCAACGGAAGUUUUGGACCUUAGCUGCCAGAGAGCUGCGUGCAUGGUGUUACCAUCACAUCCACUGAAUGUGCUGGAGCUUUCCUGUCAAGGUUUUAAUUUCCUGCCAGUGAUUUUAUUUUUAAUUUUUUUGAGACAUUAGAAGAUCUUUAGCCAUGACUGUGUAUCAGCAGCUGAAAGAAUUUGUGAGGAUGAACGUAACUAUUUGCUCCAAAAAACCUACAUAGCUCUUUUCACUCCUUUUGACAAGUAUCCAUGAAUACAUUUAAGUUUUAGAGAGCCCUGGAGUAGUUCUUACUGCUGUAUUUGACCAGCGCAUUGUCUGGACUGCUCUCCAUUUGUAAGUGAUGAGAGCUUUUCCGUGCAGGCAGCCCAACCACUGGAAGGUCAGCAGUCUGAUGCUGGCUUCAAAACCACGAGAUUGGUAAGUUAGAGGACAGCAUUUUAAAGUUAAAUUUCGUAACUUGUGAUAUUGUAAUUGUUUUCUGAUCAGUUAUGGUUGUCACUAUCAACUACGUUUUCCUCUUUUGUUCUUCUCUCCUUCCCCUUCCAUUUCCCUAUAUCUGUUGUCAACCAUUUACUAUAGUGGUAAAACUGCUUUUUUGCAGAAUUUUGUUACAACAGAAUGUUGGCUCUUGGAGUAUUUCUGAUACAGUUCCUGAUGAAAAGAUUAAGUAUUGAAUUCAGUGAGGCAGUUCCAAGCAGGUUUUUACAUUAUUUGAAUAGAACCAAAGCCUGCUUACUUGACUCCCCUGGAACAAAAGAAAUUUCAGUAUUUUCUGGGACUGUCACUGAAUGGUAUAUCCAUUGUCAAAGUCUAUGGUACUCGCUUCUGUCUUUGGAAAUCUUUAGACCUCACAUAAAUGAACACCUCACAGAAAUAUAUGUCGCAUAUUUAGCAGUGGAGAGAUGCUAUAGCUCGAUGACAGAGCCACUCUUUGAAAAGGUUCUCACCAUGUGUUCCCAAGAGACACAUCUCAUUAAAAUGAAAUGCAAGGAAAGCACGAACAUAUCGAGAAUAGUGGUCAGUGUAUUUCAAAGGCAACAGGCUACGCCAAGAAAAACAUUGUAGUCAUGCUUCCAGCUUAAAACAACAUUUGAAAAGCAUACUGAAAAACUUUCUACUUCAGUUUCAGUUGAGUGCCAGUGUGAGUUUUCAGGCUUAAGUACUUAUCUGAACACGUUACAGAAAAUAUAGAGUUAAGAAAAAACUGUCCUAAUAUUGGACCACUUUUGCUAUCUAGGCUGCUUGAAAAAUAGGUUUUUCUUCAAGAGAGAGCAGGAAGAAGGACCUAGAAAAUAGCUUUUAAAAAGAAUUACUUUUAUUUUUUAAAAAGGGGGAGUCUAAAUUGGAGAAACAAGUCAAUCACAUCUAUAUGCAAUAAUGGAUCACGUAUUAUCCUUUUGGAAACGGUUGAAAACCUAAAAAAGAAAUUCAUUUUCCUUACAAUAGUAGUAGCUAACUGGAAAGCUGGUGAUGAAAACCCUUGUUUUAGGCAUAACAGUCUUAGCUGUAGAGUCUUUUUAACAACAUUACAGAGCAGCUACAUACUGUAUGAAGUCUGUUCUGCUAAAUAUUGCUUCUUUGAGAAAUUAUUAGCAGAAUAAGUAUGGCACAGAAUUGAUAAAAAAACCAAAUCAAAAUAAAUGUUCUUUUAGAACACAUUUGUGUGGAUAAUCAGGGAAAACAGUACGAACCGGAAAGGAAUGAACAGGAAGAAUGAAAGGGAUGGUAGUAAAGCUGUCUGGUUUAGGUGACUUCUAGCAAAAGAUGACAUCCAAAAUACCUAGUUAAUUUGGAGGGGAACUAACUACAAACCAGCUGAACUGAGUGGUACUCAGAAGUAAAUAUAAAGGCGUGUGUUUCUGAUCAGUCCUGUGUUGCCAUCUGUCCCUGCUGAAGAGAGCAUAGCAACCCUUAGCAGCUCUGCAUGGCUGCCUGCUUGGGCCAUUACCUGAGCAUCUGUUUUGUUUGUUGGAUUUCAGUGUUCCCACCAGUGACAGAGAGUACAGAACUCUAGAAGGAGUACCUGUAUAAAUUAAGGAAUAACCUGUCUAACAGGAGGGGAAGGAGGGAUGCUGCUCUUCUAUUGCUCCUAUACAUUACGCUGUCCACCCCAGACACUCAACUUGUUUUUCACUUUGGCUGCACAUUUAGUUUCUUGAGCUGUGUCUCUGUGUGCUAAUUCAAGCUGGAAAACUGGAUGUUAUUCUAUGUAAUUGGUUCCAUUUAUUUCUAAAGAUGAGAGGUGUGAGCUUCUGGGUUUUACAUGGUGACGUGAGAUGUGCUGGUAGAUGUAGGUUACAGCUGUGCAUUGAGCCCCAAUGGAGCACGGAUCCCAGCACACUCCAGACUGUCCAGCUUCAACAGAACAAAACUUUAGCUGUCCUGUCUGCAGCAGGGUUUUGCGAUGUGCUAGAGAAAAUAAAACCAAAGCACUGGAAGGGGGCAGUAAAUGAAAUUUCUGUUUUAAGUUUCACAGCCAAACUAAAAUGUUCUGAAGAAUAACGAACUAAACUAAUUUCUGGAAAUUGUUUAGUGCUUCCAAAUGACACUGCAUGUUGACUUCCUUUUUCUGGAAAGUGCCUGAAGUUUCUUAAGCUGCCUGAUGGGAGGCAAUGGAAGCCCUCACUCCCGUUGGCAGCUAUGUCAGGGGAAAAUGUAGGUAUUCUUCAAAGACCAAUCUCAUCCUCCCUCUCUUUUUACUAGGCUGCUUUCUGCAUUGGGUAUCAAUGAGUCACAUUACCUUCUAGAAAACAAAACAAAAAAACAGCCGGACUAAUUUCAAAACCUGCCAUUGGAGAAAUAAUGUGUGAAGACCUUCUGACUGGAGAUGGAGGAAGGAAGGUACAUUUGCUCAGCAUGAGAUACUUUAGAUGUGCAUUCAUGAAGGGUGUAAACAGCCUCACCUGCGGUCUCAGCCUCCACAUAAGGCAGCUGAGCUUCCUUUGUAGGUAGCAAGGCCCUGCACCAGGCAACUGAGAACACCUGAAGUAAGAGAAUCCUUAUCAGCUGGCAAAGGGGGGCCUCUUCCAUCUCUGGAUCCUCUGGAUAUCUGGAGGCUUGCUUUCAUGGGAAGUGACUAAAAUUGGGUGAUGCUAAUUAUCCUUCAUGUGUAAAUUUUUAAACUAAUAAAUUGUUUCAAGUCUUCUAUGAAAUAUCAUGGAGACACUUAAUUUCUGUUGGUUUCAUUUCCCAAGAAUAUUUUUCUUUCUUUCAUUCUCAUAAACCAGCCUUACCUAGUUUUCAAAUCUCAUUCCUUGCACAGCUACCUUAUAAUCACCAAAGCAUUACUUCAAGGUUUGGCCUUAUCACAGGAGAAUCAGAGAUGAUACACAGUGAGAAAUAGUGCUUACUAAAUUUAAACAUCAAGGCAAAUUGUUAUCUACAUGCAAGACAGCUUUAUUUUUAUGAUCAUUUAUUCAUUGCACUUCUAGUGUACCGGGAGCUGUGCAGCACAUAUUGCUAGGUAUGCUCUCUGCCCUUUGAAUAUUGAUGUUUUGGAAUUCUCCUGAGAGUGAAAGGCGGAUUGAUCUACUCUUGAAGCUUGACAAGCAAUAUUCUUAUUUAUCUUUUUAGAAUGAGGAAACAAAAUGCAAUCACCAUUCUUUCCAAGCGUCUGGAAAAAUGUAUAUGGCAGAUAUGAACAGUUGCAAUUCUCAUCCUCUUUUAAUCACACUGGAUAGGCAUACUUACAGAUUUUAUGAUCUGAUUGCCUUCUUUGUAUAAUGUAAUUCAUCACCACAGAUGGGGAUAAGCACUGCAGGAAAACUGCUAUGAAAUGUAAAGUAUACAUUAUUCUUCGAGGUGUUGCAUUUAUCUGUUUAAUAAACCUGG